rnacentral:tRNA from 7 species
GCGGACAUAGCUCAGUUGGUAGAGCGCAACCUUGCCAAGGUUGAGGUCGCGAGUUCGAGUCUCGUUGUCCGCUC